GACGAACGCUGGCGGCGUGCCUAAUACAUGCAAGUCGAACGCAGUGGGGACGGGUGAGUAACACGUGGGUAACCUCCCAUCAGAGGGGAUAACACUUGGAAACAGGUGCUAAACCGAUACUGCUGGAUGGACCCGCGGUGCAUUAGCUAGUAGGGGGGGUAAAGGCCCACCUAGGCGACGAUCUCUCGCUGGGCUGAGAGGAUGAUCAGCCACACUGGGACUGAGACACGGCCCAGACUCCUACGGGAGGCAGCAGUGGGGAAUAUUGCACAAUGGGCGCAAGCCGGAUGCAGCCAUGCCGCGUGUAUGAAGAAGGUCUUCGGAUUGUAAAGCACUUUAAGUUGGGAGGCGUUACCAACAGAAUAAGCACCGGCUAACUUCGUGCCAGCAGCCGCGGUAAUUC
rnacentral:rRNA from 1 species